rnacentral:rRNA from 1 species
AUUGAACGCUGGCGGCAGGCCUAACACAUGCAAGUCGAGCGGCAGCGGGUCCUUCGGGCUGCCGGCGAGCGGCGGACGGGUGAGGAAUGCAUCGGAAUCUGCCCUGUCGUGGGGGAUAACCUAGGGAAACUUAGGCUAAUACCGCAUACGACCCACGGGUGAAAGCGGGGGAUCGCAAGACCUCGCGCGAUCGGAUGAGCCUAUGUCCGAUUAGCUAGUUGGCGGGGUAAAGGCCCACCAAGGCGACGAUCGGUAGCUGGUCUGAGAGGAUGAUCAGCCACACUGGAACUGAGACACGGCCCAGACUCCUACGGGAGGCAGCAGUGGGGAAUAUUGGACAAUGGGCGCAAGCCUGAUCCAGCCAUGCCGCGUGGGUGAAGAAGGCCUUCGGGUUGUAAAGCCCUUUUGUCCGGGAAGAAAUCGUCUGGGCUAAUACCCCGGGCGGAUGACGGUACCGGAAGAAUAAGCACCGGCUAACUUCGUG